GUCGUGGAUCCCAGCACAAUGACGCAAAAUGGUCUCCUGAGAACUACAAAAAGCGUGUGGCAGCUCUGGAGGCCAGGCAGAGCCAGCAGGGGGCACCGUCUCAGCACGGGACCCGCAUUCCUGUCCAGAACCACUCUUUGUGACCUGAGCAAGGAAGAUCGGGCCAUUACAGAGAGACUGGAGAGACUGAAGGCCAAUACCAAACCCAAGAUGAUCCCCUCUGAGAAAGAAAUUGAGUCCAAAUACAGAGAAGAGCAGACUGCAGGAGGCCAUGGCAGAGCUGAAACAGGACAACAUCUGCCAGGAACAGGUGCUGCAGAUUGCAAAGAGGCUGGCUGCUCUCAAAGGAAAGGACCCUGACAAGACUCUCUGACGAAGCAGCUAUAGAUGAAGCUAGUGGCUAUAGCAUUCCAUCUGAAUUGACCAGACCACCAAACACGACCAAGCAAGCAGUGAAAACCAAACAGCAGUGACUAAGAAGCCUGUCACUGUUCCCUGGGAGCCAGACAGCGAUGAUGAAGAAUUGCCCUGGUGCUGUAUCUGUAACGGUGACGUCACACUAUGCUGCCAUAGCUAUGACAGGAAUCUCUUCUGCCAAAGAUGUUUCAGGGUAGGACAUGAUGAAUGUGACAGAAAGGAGCAUCGAACAGUCACUUACCAACCGCCGAGAAAACAGAAGAAGAAAUGAAAUGCUUGGGGACCUUGCCAACAAUAAUAACCAAACACUUGAGUCAAGCUGAAAGUAUAUUACCUGCAACACUGCAUGGUGUGCAUAAGACAGUAAUCCUGUGAUUAAUGUAAUAAACCAUAGAAUAUAAGCAUUACCCCUCCAUGCAGACAGCCUUACUGCAUGUUGCUUGCAUUGCUUUU